UACACAUUAAUGUGCCUUGUGCCUUAAAAACUAUACAUGAUUCAGAAGCAUCCUGCCAAAUUCUUAAAAUUAAUUCAAUCCUAGAUAACCUCACAUCACAUAUAUGUGGAGAAAUGAGACUAGCCAAACUUUAGCAUAUAUAUCCCAUUCCCCCAUAUUUUGGGUAAAAGGUUGGGGGAGGGAUGACAAAGAUUUCACUAUAAA
rnacentral:misc_RNA from 1 species